rnacentral:rRNA from 1 species
AUUGACCGCUGGCGGCAGGCCUAACACAUGCAAGUCGAACGAGUGGCGGACGGGUGAGUAAUGUCUGGGAAACUGCCUGAUGGAGGGGGAUAACUACUGGAAACGGUAGCUAAUACCGCAUCCCAUCAGAUGUGCCCAGAUGGGAUUAGCUAGUUGGUGGGGUAACGGCUCAACAAGGCGACGACCCCUAGCUGGUCGGAGAGGAGGACCAGGCACACUGGAACUGAGACACGGUCCAGACGCCUACGGGAGGUAGCAGUGGGGAAUAGUGCACAAUGGGCGCAAGCCUGAUGCAGCAAUGCCGCGUGUAUGAAGAAGGCCUUCGGGUUGUAAAGGACUUUCAGCGGGGAGGCGUUACCCGCAGAAGAAGCACCGGCUAACUCCGUGCCAGCAGCCGCGGUAAUAC